UGAGGAAUUUUGCGCAAUGGGAGCAAUCCUGACGCAGCAACGCCGCGUGGGUGAUGAAGGCCUUCGGGUCGUAAAGCCCUGUCAGGUGGGAAGAAUGUCCCGGGACUGAACAGGUUCCGGGAGUGACGGUACCACCAGAGGAAGCACCGGCUAACUCCGUGCCAGCAGCCGCGGGCAUACGGAGGGUGCAAGCGUUAUUCGGAAUUACUGGGCGUAAAGCGCGUGUAGGCGGUCCUGCAAGUCUGUGGUGAAAGCCCCGGGCUUAACCCGGGAAGUGCAUUGGAAACUGUGGGACUUGAGUACUGGAGAGGAUGGGGGAAUUCCCGGUGUAGAGGUGAAAUUCGUAGAGAUCGGGAGGAAUAUCAGUGGCGAAGGCGCCCAUCUGGACGGUAACUGACGCUGAGACGCGAAAGCGUGGGGAGCAAACA
rnacentral:rRNA from 1 species